ACCUGGCAGGGUGGCGCAUGCCUGUAGUCCCAGCUACUUGGGAGGCAGAGGCUGGAGGAUUGCUUGAGUCCAGGAGUUCUGGGCUGUAGUGUGUUAUGCCAAUUGGGUAUCCACACUAAGUUCUGCAUCAAUAUGGUGACCUCCUGGGAGCGGGGGACCACCAGGUUGCCUAAGGAAGGGUGAAAUGGCCCAGGUCAGAAACCAAGCAGGUCAAAACUCCAGUGCCGAUCAGUAUUGGGAUUGUGCCUGUGAAUAGCCACUGCAGUCCAUCAUGGGCAACAUAUCGAGACGCCGUCUCU
rnacentral:SRP_RNA from 1 species